AUGAUGGAGGUGGGCCCGUUCCGCGUGAACAAGGACAAAAGAACUCUCAGCGAAAACUUGCAUGCCUGGACCAAAGUUGCCAAUGUGCUUUUCUUGGAAUCUCGUGCCGGUGUUGGGUUUUCGUACUCCAACACGACCUCUGAAUACGACUUGAGCGGGGACAAGAGGACGGCCGGCGAUGCGUUUGUCUUCCUCCUCAACUGGCUCAAGAGGUUCCCGGAGUACAAAGGCCGCCCCUUCUACAUCUCUGGGGAGAGUUACGCCGGCCACUAUGUGCCGCAGCUCGCGGCCACCAUCUUCGGCCACAAUCUCAACAGUAGUACAAGAACUUCCAUAAACCUACGGGGUAUCCUGGUCGGCAAUCCGUACCUUGAUGCCAAUAUGAAUGAUAAGGGAAAAGUUGACUAUCAGUGGGGCCACGGAUUGAUAUCAAAUGAGGUGUGGGCCAAUAUCACCGAGAACUGCCAUUUAGACAAGCCAGGUUACACAGCAUGCGUUGAACAUAUGAUCGAUGGCACUCAUGCUAACAUCGAUCCGUACGACGUAUAUGAACCGGUUUGCAUGGAAGGGCCAACUGAAACACAGCACCACAGCCGCUAUAUACCGAGGUCGUAUGAUAUUUGCAGCGAUCGUUACGUAUACGCAUACCUCAAUGAUCCUCGGGUGCAAAAGGCUUUGCAUGCUAGAUCGCAAGAGUGGCAACACUGCUCCUCACUUAAUUGGAUGGAUGCACCGGCCUCGAUGGUGCCGACGCUCAAAUGGCUGAUAGAGCACCACCUGCCCGUGUGGCUGUACAGCGGCGACUUUGACUCCGUAUGCCCGUUCAUCGCCACGAGUUACACCAUCAAGGACCUCGGCCUCGACGUCACGGAGCAAUGGCGCCCGUGGAUAGUAAAGGAUGAGACUGGAGGGUUCGUUCAGGGAUACGCGGGUGGGUUGGUGUUUGCAACUCUGAGGGCAGCCGGGCACGCGGUCCCGUCCUACCAGCCCGAGGCAGCGCUCACGCUGAACACUUCCCCCGCGUGA
rnacentral:rRNA from 1 species